UCCGGUCUAGUCGGGUUUGUAAGAAGUAUAAAAUCUUCCGUUGAUAACUGGGGUUACGAUAUGUUUUAUAAUUUUUUGGAACCGCUCACCCAAAACUCUCUCUGGACAACAUGAGAAGCCCGAGGAACAACAAAUUACGGCGAAUCGUUGACGGGGAAUCAUCUGAGCUGUGGAAGAGGAUGCCGGCAGAAGAAAAGGAAGAGCACGAAUUCUUACUGACGAUCCUGGUCGGGCAAGUCCAGUGAGUCUGGCGCUUUGGAUUUAGUAGAGGUUUUGGUGGUUGCUGGAACGUCUUCUGAGGUGAUACAAAUCCUGGUCACACAAGUCCAGUUGAGUAGGUAUUUUCCUCAUAUUUACAGUCAACCUUGGACACACUUCUUACAGGCAACUGUCAAGGUUCCUGGUGCUCAGUCAACAACUGAGCAUCUUGCAGUUAGGGUUGGAGUGGUUUUGUGUGGUCAACAAUCUCCGAAGUUAUGUGGGGUCUUUUUGAAGCUUUAAAGACUCACUACACCAAAAUUUAUUUGCUUUGAUUUGAGGUUGGUGGUUCUGAUGGUUUAGUUGCCCAGGAAACUUUUAAGAGAUUAGCAAUGAGAUUUUUGUCACCUACACAAAUCAAGGUGUUUAUGAUUUGCUGAGAUGAACAAAAGAUGAAAUUAGAAGAACUGAACUAUGUUCUUGGUUUCAUGCUGGACCUGCAACGCCAUAUUUACUAAAAACCAAGACAGCAUUUAAAGGCUAUUGAAGCCUGGAUAGAAAAGAACAUAAUAUUGUGUGCACUGCUCAGUAGUGUUCACCAUCUGCUGUACAUGCAUGGCUGCAACCAGGUAAGUGAUCUAUCUGUUUGAUUAAGUGUGACAAUAUUGUAGGCCGUAUGUUGUGGUAUCUAGGUUUCGAUUCUUACUUUGUUGCUAUGAAGAUCUGAAUUAAGAGUAUUUAUAUGUGCUAUCAUGCUAUGAAGCCAGCCCGAGUGUGGAGAUCCUUCAUUUACUCAGCUUUUUAGCUGAGUUAUAUUAUGGUGGUCAUUUUAAACAUUCAUCUUUCUGGUGUAUGUUUUACUCCCACUAUGUUGGUGCAGAGGAGAAAGUGUGUUUUGGAGGGUUCCAGCAAUCACAUGGCAAUAUUAUUUCAUCACUUUCCCUUCUAUGGACCUUUAUGGAUGGAUUGUAUGUCCAUCUCUCGUUUGACUUGUGCGUUUAACGAACGUACGGCUAUCCCAAAGAGGCUCAACUCGACUGGCCGAAGUUGGACCAACUAAAUAGCCUUUGACUCCUAUUUUACAGUUUGGCCGGUAAUGUUUUCGGUUGACUUAAGCAGGCCCAUAAGGCUGUCAGCUCUUUUGCCGACAGAUAACGCUGUCGGCUGAUUUCAGUAGACCCAUAAUGCCGUUGACUUUUUUGCUGGGUCUUAUCUGCAAAAGAGUCAAUAGCAUAAUUGCUCUAAACAUUCUGACGGCUUGCAAUGCAGUAAGCCUGUUUUCCACGCCUUCUCCACCUGAGGCGGAUUUUGCAAAGUCAUUUAACCGAGCCCAUUUUCUACCCUUCUUUCUUCUCUUUCCCCCUCUCAAAAUUCCUCCCCAAAAAUGAUUUUUAGAAAGAUGAUUCUGUUUGUGUAUUUGUCGCCGUGGACGCCAACCCAACCCUCGGUGCCGUUGCCGUCGGAUCAACGUUGGGGCCAACAAUCGUUUUUGUCGCCAGCUCUCUUGUCGUCGUCGUCGGUUGAAAGAAAAGUCAGUAUGCUUUUACACUCCAAGAAUGCAGACUUAUAUUCUAAUCUUGAAAUAUGAUUACGCCGCAAUUGUUUUUGGUGUUCCUCAUUUCUUUAAUUUGAUUUGUCGAUGUUUUUUGUGGGCAAUUUAUUGCUGAGCAUUAUGUCGUAUGCUCGAACUUUUCUGUUGAUGCGAUGUUGGUUUGAGGAAUUCGUGGAUUGAGCUUGCUUUUGAAUGAAAUGGUUUGAGGGUUUAUGCAUGAUGGUUUUGGGAAUUAAGAAAUUACAAAUUGUCCAAUGAAAUAAAACUGGGAUAGAUCGGUUGCUA